rnacentral:rRNA from 1 species
GACGAACGCUGGCGGCGUGCUUAACACAUGCAAGUCGAACGGUAAGGCCCUUCGGGGUACACGAGUGGCGAACGGGUGAGUAACACGUGGGUGAUCUGCCCUGCACUUCGGGAUAAGCCUGGGAAACUGGGUCUAAUACCGGAUAGGACCACUGCCUGCAUGGGUGGUGGUGGAAAGCUUUUGCGGUGUGGGAUGGGCCCGCGGCCUAUCAGCUUGUUGGUGGGGUGAUGGCCUACCAAGGCGACGACGGGUAGCCGGCCUGAGAGGGUGACCGGCCACACUGGGCCUGAGAUACGGCCCAGACUCCUACGGGCGGCAGCAGUGGGGAAUAUUGCACAAUGGGCGCAAGCCUGAUGCAGCGACGCCGCGUGAGGGAUGACGGCCUUCGGGUUGUAAACCUCUUUCAGCGCCGACGAAGCGCAAGUGACGGUAGGUGCAGAAGAAGGACCGGCCAACUACGUGCCAGCCGCCGCCGUAA